rnacentral:lncRNA from 1 species
GAACAGAGUGGCAUUUUCUUCACAAAUUUGUUUAGGAAAAUUUAUCAUGUUUGAAUAAUGAAUUUAUAGUUCUCAUGCCUGUAUGGUAAUCUACUAGCACAUAGGAUAUCCCCAUGCAUACCUUGCAUACAAACAUCUACAAAUGAGAUGCCAAGUCUCACCUCUUCGUGGAGAAUCCUCGCUCCACAUUCCCUAAACUAGCAGAUUGUUAUACAGGCAGUUUCUCCCCC